GAGGGUAUAGAGUGGUACAGCACUUGCCUGGCAUGCAUGAGGUCCUAGGUUUAAUCCCCAGUACCUCCA
rnacentral:tRNA from 1 species